ACUUUCAAAAAGCUGGAAAAUGCUAGCUAGCUAAUGCUAACUGUGGCAAACAAGCUCACAGCCAAACACUUAAAACAAGUCGCUAGCAGCUAAUAUAGCAGCUCCAGUUUUGUUCCUACGGCUUACUUAAGACGCAGCUGUACAUUAAUUUGUUUUGCAAAACAUUGACAUUGAUGCUUGACCAGAAUGAUAAAUUAGAAACUGAAAAAAAAAAAGCUAGCUAAUGUUAGCUAGAUAUUGCUAGAUUUGAAAACAAACAGACAGCCAAUCACUGAAAACAAUCCAAUAUCAUCUAACAUUAGCAUACCGAGUUGGGUUUUUAUUAACAAAUUCAAAUUUUGUAACUCGUGUAGAAUAUGUGGCAAUAAGGACGAGUUA